CACGUAGGGGGCAAGCGUUGUCCGGAUUUAUUGGGCGUAAAGAGCUCGUAGGCGGCUUGUCGCGUCGUCCGUGAAAACUUGGGGCUCAACCCCAAGCUUGCGGUCGAUACGGGCAGGCUAGAGUUCGGUAGGGGAGACUGGAAUUCCUGGUGUAGCGGUGAAAUGCGCAGAUAUCAGGAGGAACACCGGUGGCGAAGGCGGGUCUCUGGGCAACAACUGACGCUGAGGAGCGAAAGCGUGGGGAGCGAACAGG
rnacentral:rRNA from 1 species